rnacentral:rRNA from 1 species
AUUGAACGCUGGCGGCAUGCCUUACACAUGCAAGUCGAACGGCAGCACAGGUGCUUGCACCUGGUGGCGAGUGGCGAACGGGUGAGUAAUACAUCGGAACGUACCUUAUCGUGGGGGAUAACGCAGCGAAAGUUACGCUAAUACCGCAUACGGCCUGAGGGUGAAAGCAGGGGAUCGCAAGACCUUGCGUUAUACGAGCGGCCGAUGUCAGAUUAGCUAGUUGGUGAGGUAAAGGCUCACCAAGGCGACGAGCUGUAGCGGGUCUGAGAGGAUGAUCCGCCACACUGGGACUGAGACACGGCCCAGACUCCUACGGGAGGCAGCAGUGGGGAAUUUUGGACAAUGGGGGCAACCCUGAUCCAGCCAUGCCGCGUGAGUGAAGAAGGCCUUCGGGUUGUAAAGCUCUUUCGGCCGGGAAGAAAUCGCACAGGCUAAUACUCUGUGUGGAUGACGGUACCUAACCAGAAAGCCACGGCUAACUACGUGCCAGCAGCCGCAGUAA